rfam:Daphnia pulex DAPPTscaffold_88_Cont4096, whole genome shotgun sequence.
CAAUCGGCCCUUUUCAGGGCCACCAGUUACUAAAGCAAAAGAUUA